AGUUGUAUGUAAGAAAAUAUGAGAUACAAUGGAUCAAAAUGAGUUCUCCAGAGAGGCACCAAAAUUUACUAUGGGAGCAUGGAGGACAAUGAGAUGAUCUCUGCCUGGGGAUGGGGGCACAUUGAUGGAAGUGAGCAGGCGAUCUGAGUGCAGAGGCACAGAAGUCAUCAGGCGGAGGCUGGGAAGCAGGGCUCUCCCAGGUAGUAAGAACAUCCUGCUUAAAAGCCCAGAAAGUAGGACAACAGUCAGUAACUGAAUUAGCCAAAUAUUCAGAAGAAGGCAGCAUGCCCCAAAUGUCUCCAGUCACAAUUAAGCUACUGGCUUUCCUUCUGCAUGGAACUGGGUUCGUUGCCAAACAUUCCUGUCAAGUGAGGUAUCAGAGAUCCAUAUAGAAGCCCAGCUUCAGCAACUACCUGGUGGCAAGGAAGAAGAGUCCUCGACACAGACAUCGUAGGUGAACUCCUCCAGAAUGAGA